CUACGGAGGGGGCUAGCGUUGUUCGGAAUUACUGGGCGUAAAGCGCGCGUAGGCGGAUUGGUCAGUUGGGGGUGAAAUCCCGAGGCUUAACCUCGGAACUGCCUCCAAAACUGCCAGUCUUGAGUUCGAGAGAGGUGAGUGGAAUUCCUAGUGUAGAGGUGAAAUUCGUAGAUAUUAGGAAGAACACCAGUGGCGAAGGCGGCUCACUGGCUCGAUACUGACGCUGAGGUGCGAAAGCGUGGGGAGCAAACAGGAUUAGAUACCCCAGUAGUCC
rnacentral:rRNA from 1 species